UCCGGUUUGACACCGGCAGUCCCGCUAGAGUGCGGCGCCCGAAGGCGCCUGGCAACUAGAGGCAGGGGUUUCGCUCGUUAGAGGACUUAACCCGACACUUCACAGCACGAGCUGACGACAGCCAUGCAGCACCUGUGCACGUUCCACCCUUGCGGGUGUCAUCCCCCUUUCAGAGGACUAAUCCGUGCAUGUCAAGCCUUGGAUAAGGUUCUUCGCGUUGCUUCGAAUUAAGCCACAUGCUCCACCGCUUGUGUGAGCCCCCGUCAAUUCCUUUGAGUUUUAGCCUUGCGACCGUACUCCCCAGGCGGUACGUUUAACGCGUUGGCUACGCCACAAAAGGGGUCGAAUCCUUUUACAGCAAACGUGCACCGUUUACGGCUAGGACUAC
rnacentral:misc_RNA from 1 species